CCACAAUUUUAUGUAUAUGUAUAUAUAGUAAAUAACCAUUAUGAUUGGUUAAAUUACACAGCACUAGUCUACACCCACAUUCCAACUUUCAACAUACAAGAAGAAGAAAGUACAUAAAAGAUGAUUGCAUUAAUGCAAUUGGACAGGGUGUGAGCACCACCAAAGAACCAAACCACAGAAAAUCAAAACCAGUGGGAUUAAAUGAACAGCUUUCUCUCCGGCCGAAGGCUUUAUCUUCGACGAGCCGUCAGAAACCACAUAUUCAUCAUCGUAUUCUGCUAACAGAUUCUGGUUCGAAUCGAAACCUUUCAAUGCAGAUGAUGGGAAGUUCACCAAGAAUUCCUCCGAGGAUCGAGCAGCCGAAUGACUCGCCGAUCGAUGCAUAUCUUCCACGAACCUAUUAUUCGACAUGUAAAAUGUAUAAUGAGUGAAUAUAUAUAUAUAUAUUUAUAAGAAUGAAGAUUUUGUGUACAUGAUUAUGAAAAGAAGUUAGAGAGAUGAGAAAAUCAUAUAUAGCGGUGGCAAAAGUAAGCACCUUUGCUUCUUCUUCUUUGUGUGCUUCUUUUAUUUCUGACUGAGUUGUGAAAUGUG
rnacentral:lncRNA from 1 species